rnacentral:rRNA from 1 species
GACGAACGCUGGCGGCGUGCUUAACACAUGCAAGUCGAACGGAAAGGCCCUGCUUUUGUGGGGUGCUCGAGUGGCGAACGGGUGAGUAACACGUGAGUAACCUGCCCUUGACUUUGGGAUAACUUCAGGAAACUGGGGCUAAUACCGGAUAGGAGCUCCUGCUGCAUGGUGGGGGUUGGAAAGUUUCGGCGGUUGGGGAUGGACUCGCGGCUUAUCAGCUUGUUGGUGGGGUAGUGGCUUACCAAGGCUUUGACGGGUAGCCGGCCUGAGCGGGUGACCGGCCACAUUGGGACUGAGAUACGGCCCAGACUGCUACGGGAGGCAGCAGUGGGGAAUAUUGCACAAUGGGCGGAAGCCUGAUGCAGCAACGCCGCGUGCGGGAUGACGGCCUUCGGGUUGUAAACCGCUUUCGCCUGUGACGAAGCGUGAGUGACGGUAAUGGGUAAAGAAGCACCGGCUAACUACGUG